UCAGUUCAUGACUCGUAUUCUCAGGGAGUGUACACUCACCAUGUACAGCUUGGUAUGAAUGAUGACGACCUUACUGUAUAUGGAUUUGCUUGAAAGUGUUUUUCUUAAAAUUUUCCUGUCCAUUCUGCAUCAUAGAUUAAUUUAAUGGGCUACCUGGAGACACCUGAGAGGGUAAGCCUGUAAGAAGUACCUGAUGACUCCAUAUCCAUUGCCACGGUCUGGACCUCAGGGUCAAUUUAAGUAGAUCCUGCAAAAACUCGGAUCAGGAGAGAAAUGACCUUUGGGAUUCUCAAGUCACACUUCAAUUGUUUAAGACUGUAAAGAUAACAGUGCUGCACAGUAUAAGCAUGAUUAGGAAGGAGAAACUCCAUGUGAGAUAAUUCACAUUUUUAAUACUGAUGUUCCUCUGAGGUCAUGCUGGUACAGCUAUAGAUGGAGGUCCUAGGUUGGGAGGAAGGCUUUUUCCCCUGUGGAUUAAGCAGGAAAAAUAUUGCUAGUAGAUAAAUUUGAAUGUACAAGACUUUGUGUAGAUCACUGUGGUAAUUUCAUAGGAAAGCAGUGAGUGAGUGAGUUUCCUCCCAGAGAGCUCUCAGAGCACACAGAGAUCAUCUGUAUAUCAGGAUUAUGUUCAAAUUUGGCUAGAAUUAAUGUAUUGAAUACACUAAAGUCACUUGUGUUCAGAACACAAUAAUCACGUCAUGUGUAGUGCUGCCAGGCCAGACUUUGAUAUGCUGGAGACACCUGGGUCAGAAGAGGGAUUUCAGAGCUAUGGUCCUCCAUUAAAGGGCCAAUUCUUCAGCCAGUGAAUAAUCUGGAGGUGGAGGACCACGGGCAGGGUUUUUAUUUGAUCAUUCUUUCUCCUAUUAUCUGUAAUAAAUAAAUAAAUAAAUAAAUAAAUAAAUCAUCAUAAUAAAAUAAAUCAUCAGAGCACUUUGUCAGAGGCAAAGUAAUCAGACUUUUCCAUUAUUCUGCACAAGCAGGUGGGAUUGUUGAAAUGUUCUUCAAGUGAGGAUGGGAUUCGUCAAUCUUUUUGCAGGAGUUGGUGGAGUUUCUUAAAUUUUCUUAAAUUUUAAAUUUUCAGUCUGGACUCCUCUGAUGGUCAGAGUGAAGUCAGUAUUAGAUCCACUGCCACUGAAACGAGCUGGAGUUCCUGACUGUAAGCUAGUAGCCCUGUAGAUCAGGAGUUUAGGAGCUUCUCCAGGUUUCUGCAGGUACCAGGCGAGAGCGUUACCACUAUACACGCUGCUACUGGUUCUACAGUUGAAGGUGACUGUUUUUCCUGGAUCAACAGUUUGCACUGAAGGAGUCUGAGUCACAGUCACCUGACCUCUGGAUCCUGAAGAGAAACAUAGAUUGUGUUUCUAUGCUGUAAAGUGGUGUAGAAUUCGUAUGAAAUGAAGUGUGUGAGGCUGUGAGUUGAUGUUAAACUCUCACCUUGAGUCCAGAGGGCCAGUGUGCAGAUGAAGACGCUGAUCAAAGUCAUGGUUGCUGUGGGUGAAGUUGCUGAGCAGCAGCUCUCAGUCAUGAAGUGUUAAAGUCACAGGGCUAUAAACACUCGCAGAGCACUGAAGCAUGGACUGGCAAUGCAAAGUGUGUGUGUGUGUGUGUGUGUGUGUGUGUGUGUGUGUGUGUGUGUGUGUGUGUGUGUGUGCACUGCAGUGUGAUGGAGGUUUUUGUACGAUGGUUUCAUUAGAAUGUAUCACUGUGGUACACUUUUGGUGGAGGCUCCAAACUCGUGGUGAACACGGGUACCACAGCUCCCUCCGUGUCUCUGCUCCCUCCGUCCCCUCUGCAGCUGUCUGAGGGAUCGGCCUCGCUGCUCUGCCUGCUGUCUGGCUACUCUCCACAGGGGGCGCUGGUGAGCUGGACAGUGGACGGCUCAGAGGUGAAGAACGAGGUUCUGACCAGCGCAGAAGAAGAGAAGAACGGCCGUUACAGCCGCAGCAGCACCCUGACCCUCAGCAAAGACCUCUGGGAAAAGGGGGAGGAGUUCAGCUGUAGGGUCUCCCAUAACAACGUCGAUCAUCCAGUCACGUUCAGAAAGAGUCAGUGUGAAGGCUAGUGGAUCCAAGAUAGAGUUUAACAUAGAGCUGCUUAUGAUCCAUCUACAAUAGAGUUUCAAUUCUACACAAUGCUGACAUUUCUGUCUUUACUCUCUUCACUGUCCUGUUGCUCUUCCUGUAGUUUUUGCUGAAAUAAAGCUGAGUUUUGGA